GAUGAACGCUGGCGGCGUGCCUAAUACAUGCAAGUCGAGCGAACAGACGAGGAGCUUGCUCCUCUGACGUUAGCGGCGGACGGGUGAGUAACACGUGGAUAACCUACCUAUAAGACUGGGAUAACUUCGGGAAACCGGAGCUAAUACCGGAUAAUAUAUUGAAUCGCAUGGUUCAAUAGUGAAAGACGGUUUUGCUGUCACUUAUAGAUGGAUCCGCGCCGCAUUAGCUAGUUGGUAAGGUAACGGCUUACCAAGGCAACGAUGCGUAGCCGACCUGAGAGGGUGAUCGGCCACACUGGAACUGAGACACGGUCCAGACUCCUACGGGAGGCAGCAGUAGGGAAUCUUCCGCAAUGGGCGAAAGCCUGACGGAGCAACGCCGCGUGAGUGAUGAAGGUCUUCGGAUCGUAAAACUCUGUUAUUAGGGAAGAACAAAUGUGUAAGUAACUAUGCACGUCUUGACGGCACCUAAUCAGAAAGCCACGGCUAACUACGUG
rnacentral:rRNA from 1 species